UACGUAGGGCGCAAGCGUUGUCCGGAAUUAUUGGGCGGAAAGAGCUCGUAGGCGGCCUGUUGCGUCCGCUGUGAAAUCCCGGGGCUCAACCCCGGGCCUGCAGUGGAUACGGGCUGGCUAGAGGCAGGCAGGGGAGAACGGGAUUCCUGGUGUAGCGGUGAAAUGCGCAGAUAUCAGGAGGAACACCGGUGGCGAAGGCGGUUCUCUGGGCCUGUACUGACGCUGAGGAGCGAAAGCGUGGGGAGCGAACAGG
rnacentral:rRNA from 1 species